rnacentral:tRNA from 1 species
UCUAGGGUGGCAGAUCAGUGCCCUGAGUUUAAGCCUCAACUAGGUAAUUAUUUAUUACCCCUGGAA